CAAGUAAGGUGACAGUUAUAUAAAAUCAUACACAAUAAAAUCAGGACUAUAAUAACAAAAGGAUAGAAGAAUGAUUUCAUUAUCUGGGAUCCAGUAGGGGACCAACCAGUAAAGCAUCGUACCAAUGAUGGGCUAAAUCAUUCUGAAUUUGUGAACUCACCUUAAGGAGUUCUCCUUUUAGGAUAUGUGUGGCUACCUGUGUGUGUUAUCUUUGGGAAAAUAUAGUCCCCUGUGUAUGUGGGUGCCCACCAGGUUAAAUUCUUGGCAAAAAGAUCAUAAACUGGUACUGGUAAUGUGUUAAAUUGACAAGCUAAUUUAACAUCCUUUGAUGAUGUAUGAUAUAAUGUAAAAUAGCAUGAACAUGAAAAAUGUGAAACAUUACCAGUUAACCAUGCAUUGCAUUUAGUGGAUUGGGGUUUUAGAAGUAACCAUUCAUUAUCUGUGAGGUUACACAUUCCUCUAAUCUUCUCAAGUUUAGGAAUCAUUAGUGUGUUUUCUAAUGCCAAUCCUUGUUGUUGUAUCCAUAAAUACCUGAUGGCACAAGUACUCCAGUUACUUAGAUCUGUAGUGAAUUUCAUAGUUGCAACAGUUAAAUUAUCUAAAUAAUUAUACAUUGAUUUAUCUAAAUCCAAUCCUAUAACCUGUGAUUUAACAACAAUUGGAGCCCAGUUUGCAGUAGC